CGGGGCCCACCUCCUCGACGUGUUAUUUAAAUCGGUUUUCUUUGGAGGGUGCUAAAAGUAGAGCAAAGGAGAGGUACCUUCCAUUCGUAUCACGUUCCCGGCCUCCUUCCCCCUUUCAACUACCUCUUCUCUCCUCUCCUCUCCUCUCCUUUCCUUUCAUCCCCUGUUCUCUCCUCUCCUUCCCUCUGCGAAAGAGAGUACCCAUCAACUCACAUUAUUUGAUAUGAACUUGUUUAACACGAACCACCCAUUUGUCUGCUUUCCGUGGUUCCUCAUAACUCCUCAAAACCAAGGAAGCGAAGUCCUCAAGGAUUUUUCCAUCAAAUAAAGCGACAGUUGGGGAAGAAGUACUCCUUCCUUUGAUCUUGGAAGAGAAAAGAGGCCUUCGCCAUUGAUAUAUUCUACAGGGACUUGAUACCAACACGUACCACUCAAAGCCCAGAAGGACAUAUAAUAAGUAAACUAGAUGCAAGGGCCAACGAUCUAAGGAGGAUCGGUUUCUCAUUGCCAUUCUUCCAUGGUGCAGUCUGGCCGAGAGGAAUGGGCUUUGCGACGAGCAUUGGGAAAUACCACCUUGGCCGGACUAUUGGGGAGGGCAACUUCGCCAAGGUCAAGCUGGCUGUGAACACCGAGACGAAUAAGAACGUCGCCGUUAAGAUCAUCGAUAAGAAGAUGGUGUUGCAGAACAAGCUGAUGUAUCAGGUCAAGAGAGAAAUCAGCACAAUGAAGCUUCUGCAUCACCCAAACAUUGUAAAGAUAUACGAGGUAAUUGCGACGAAGACCAGGAUUUAUCUUGUAAUGGAGUAUGUCCCUGGAGGACAACUUUCUGAUAAGUUGUACUAUCUGAAGAGGUUAGAUGAGAGAGAGGCAAGGAAGUUCUUUCAGCAGCUGAUCGAUGCCAUGGAUUACUGCCAUGGCAGAGGAGUUUACCACAGAGAUCUGAAGCCAGAGAACCUGCUUUUAGAUGGCAAGGGCAACCUAAAGGUAUCCGAUUUUGGGCUCUGUGUAUUGAGAAAGCCAGGAGACUUGUUGUCGACCGCCUGUGGAUCUCCGAGUUAUGUGGCUCCUGAGGUGAUAGUCCACAAGCAUUAUGAGGGAGCAGCUGCUGAUGUAUGGUCUUGUGGAGUGAUUCUGUUUGAAUUGCUUGCAGGCUACCUACCUUUUGAAGAUCGCAGCCUGAUGAACUUGUAUAGAAAGAUAUCUAGAGCAGAAUAUACAUGCCCCUAUUGGUUCACAGCCUCCCAAAGAAAGCUAAUUUCCAAGAUGCUGGAUCCCUUGCCAACCAAGCGGGCCACGAUAGCCAAGAUUCUCGAAGAUGAGUGGUUUCGGGUGGAUUAUGAGCCUUCAGCAGGAUACGAAAAUGAUGAGGACCUGAAUUCAGAUGAUAUCAGCAAUACAAUGGACAGUGAAAAUGAGAGAACCAAUCGGACAGUGGAAGGAAAACUACAUAGAUUUAUCAAUGCUUUCCAACUCAUAGCAAUGUCCAGUGACCUUGAUUUGUCUGGUCUUUUCCAUGAGCAGAAAACAAAGCUUGGCUCCGAGCAUUCAAUAGAUGAAACACUGGAAAAAAUUGAGGUCGCUGCGAAGGAUGUAAGCCUAUAUGCAGAAAGGAUGAGAAAUUCUAAGGUGAAACUUCACCGUAACAAAAGUUUAACAAGAAGUCGGUCCCCCUCUACUCUAUCAGCAGAGGUGUUUGAGGUGACACCAAUUCAUUGUGUUGUAGAAAUAUCAAAAUCUGCAGGAGAUCUAACAGCAUACAAAGAGACUUUCAUAAACAGUUUUGCGAAAGCUUAUCGAGCCUGCUCAGGCAGAGCUCUGCUGGUAGUUCAUCAGAAUUGCAGGCAUCUGAGGCUGAUGAAAAGGCUAGAAAGGAGUUGAUUUUUAGCAAUGAAACAACAACAGGAAUGGAGUAAGCAGUUUUCUAUAUCGAGGCCUGAUCCCUACUGACCCAAGUUCCAUGCAAAGAAGCAUGGCUGUUUGAAAGUUGCCAGGAUUUGAAGAUGAUAUGAACGGUAUUCAAAUUAUUCCAGCUAACACUUAGAAUAGGCAGCAAGGGAAGAACCGGAAGACGGCCGAGCCAACCCGAAAGCAGUAUGCCGGAAUCCUGCCACCCGCCAACGCAAAUACUGGUCAGCCCAGGCAGGGUUUGGGCCAAAGCAUCACAACUACAACCCGUCAUUUCCUAUUACCGCCGUCUCAUGAAUAAUCCCAUCAGCCUCCCUCGGAGAAGCAGUAUCAGCCUGUAUAGGAUAUACACUGUGUUACCCUUCCCAUCAAAUGGAAGGCCGUGCGAUAAAACAAUGUUACAUGAUGAAAGACUUGAACUAUGAUUUGAAUGAUGGAAUUGAUCCAAAAUUAACCCGACUUCUGAUC